rnacentral:rRNA from 1 species
AUUGAACGCUGGCGGCAUGCUUUACACAUGCAAGUCGAACGGUAACAGGCCUUCGGGUGCUGCCGAGUGGCGAACGGGUGAGUAAUGCAUCGGAACGUACCCAGAGGUGGGGGAUAACGCAGCGAAAGCUGUGCUAAUACUGCAUGUGAUCUGAGGUUGAAAGCGGGGGACCGAGCAGCAAUGUUUGGCCUCGCGCCUUUGGAGCGGCCGAUGUCGGAUUAGCUAGUUGGUGGGGUAAAGGCCUACCAAGGCGACGAUCCGUAGCUGGUCUGAGAGGACGACCAGCCACACUGGGACUGAGACACGGCCCAGACUCCUACGGGAGGCAGCAGUGGGGAAUUUUGGACAAUGGGCGCAAGCCUGAUCCAGCAAUGCCGCGUGCGGGAAGAAGGCCUUCGGGUUGUAAACCGCUUUUGGCAGGAACGAAACGGUGUCCGCUAAUACCGGGCGCUAAUGACGGUACCUGCAGAAUAAGCACCGGCUAACUACGUG